GGAAAGGACCAUGAAGGUGAUUAAGGAUCUAGACUAUCUGACAUAUAGGUAGAGGAUAAGAGAGCUGGAAUUGUUUAGCCUGGAGAAGAUAAUGGUCAGGAGAACCUUAUCGAGAAAUCUGAAGAAAUUACUCUCAUGGCUGAUAACUUUAACAGAUUGAAAGGAAAGCACAUGAUCACAUAACACAGACAAAGGCAACCGCAAGACUCAGCAGUUUGAAUGCCCAUGGCAGAAGAGCUGCAGCCAGCUCUUUGGGUGCAUACAUUUGUCUGGACAGGUAAGAAACAGUACCAUAACAUGAAGAAGAAAAAGUGAACACAGCCUGACCUGCAUCUGAACUGGUCAUGGCAGAGGAGAGGACUUCCAGAAUGAGCUGGUGAGUAAAAGAACUUGAACUUCCAUAAGAAGAGCUGUGUCUGUGGUGCACCCUGACCUGCCCCUGGUAAAUAGCUCUUUCUUGUUGUACAGAACUCACUGAACCCAGCACCAGCUUUUUCUCUUAAGUGGCACAAACUGUAAGACACUGGGUUUUGUGGAUGGCUGAGCAGUUGAGGAGGACUCACCAGAUCAGCCUAAGUCUGUGAUGGUGGCACUAUUGGGCAUGUUUUUCUGUCCUUUCAGAAUGGAGCUUUGCUGAAACCUCUGUAAGAAAUCAGGUCACUGUGAUCGCACUGGAGAGAAUUUCAUUGUAUGAAGGUUGAAAUUUCACCACAGACAGAUCACAAGAUUUUCGUGACCUCGUGAUCUCUUUUGUGAGUGGUGGUUGUGUAACAGAUCCCCUGGUAAGAUAAGACAAUAUGAGGAUUUACACA